GCCGAUGUGGCGGAAUUGGUAGACGCGACAGACUCAAAAUCUGUUCUCCGCAAGGGGGUGGGGGUUCGAUUCCCUCCAUCGGCACCA
rnacentral:tRNA from 1 species